rnacentral:rRNA from 1 species
GAUCAUGGCUCAGGACGAACGCUGGCGGCGUGCCUAACACAUGCAAGUCGAGCGGGGAAUAUUGAGCAGCUUGCUGCUUGGUAUUUCUAGCGGCGGACGGGUGAGUAACGCGUGAGUAACCUGCCUUUAUCAGGGGGAUAACGCAUCGAAAGAUGUGCUGAUACCGCGUAAGACCACAGCUUCACAUGGAGCAGGGGUCAAAGGAGCAAUCCGGAUAAAGAUGGG